rnacentral:rRNA from 1 species
UACGGAGGGUGCAAGCGUUAUCCGGAUUUACUGGGUUUAAAGGGUGCGUAGGUGGGCUUGUAAGUCAGUGGUGAAAUCUCCGGGCUUAACCCGGAAACUGCCAUUGAUACUAUAGGUCUUGAAUUAUCUGGAGGUAAGCGGAAUAUGUCAUGUAGCGGUGAAAUGCUUAGAUAUGACAUAGAACACCAAUUGCGAAGGCAGCUGGCUACACAAAUAUUGACACUGAGGCACGAAAGCGUGGGGAUCAAACAGG